GGUUGUGGUGGUGGAGGUGCAGGUCCAAGUGACGCUUGGAAAGCAGGGAACGCACGGCUCUUAUCUGGUUCGAAUCCAGUUCGUCCCC
rnacentral:tRNA from 1 species